rnacentral:rRNA from 1 species
CACGUAGGGGGCGAGCGUUGUCCGGAUUUAUUGGGCGUAAAGAGCUCGUAGGCGGCUUGUCGCGUCGACUGUGAAAACCCACGGCUUAACUGUGGGCUUGCAGUCGAUACGGGCAGGCUAGAGUUCGGUAGGGGAGACUGGAAUUCCUGGUGUAGCGGUGAAAUGCGCAGAUAUCAGGAGGAACACCGGUGGCGAAGGCGGGUCUCUGGGCCGAUACUGACGCUGAGGAGCGAAAGCGUGGGGAGCGAACAGG